GACGAACGCUGGCGGCGUGCUUAACACAUGCAAGUCGAACGGAAAGGCCCUGCUUUUGUGGGGUGCUCGAGUGGCGAACGGGUGAGUAACACGUGAGUAACCUGCCCUUGACUUUGGGAUAACUUCAGGAAACCGGGGCUAAUACCGGAUAGGAGCUCCUGCUGCAUGGUGGGGGUUGGAAAGAUUCGGCGGUUGGGGAUGGACUCGCGGCUUAUCAGCUUGUUGGUGGGGUAGUGGCUUACCAAGGCUUUGACGGGUAGCCGGCCUGAGAGGGUGACCGGCCACAUUGGGACUGAGAUACGGCCCAGACGCCUACGGGAGGCAGCAGUGGGGAAUAUUGCACAAUGGGCGGAAGCCUGAUGCAGCAACGCCGCGUGCGGGAUGACGGCCUUCGGGUUGUAAACCGCUUUCGCCUGUGACGAAGCGUGAGUGACGGUAAUGGGUAAAGAAGCACCGGCUAACUACGUG
rnacentral:rRNA from 1 species